UAGGAAUCUGGAGACAGGUGCUGCAUGGCUGUCGUCAGCUCGUGCGUGAGAUGUUGGGUUAAGUCCCGUAACGAGCGCAACCCUUGUCCUUAGUUACCAGCACGUUAUGGUGGGCACUCUAAGGAGACUGCCGGUGGCAAACCGGAGGAAGGUGGGGAUGACGUCAAGUCAUCAUGGCCCUUACGGCCUGGGCUACACACGUGCUACAAUGGUCGGUACAAAGGGUUGCCAAGCCGCGAGGUGGAGCUAAUCCCAUAAAACCGAUCGUAGUCCGGAUCGCAGUCUGCAACUCGACUGCGUGAAGUCGGAAUCGCUAGUAAUCGUGAAUCAGAAUGUCACGGUGAAUACGUUCCCGGGCCUU
rnacentral:rRNA from 1 species